AUAUAGCCUGUCUUGUGGGUUGGGACGCCCAGAGCCUUCUGUGCUUUGCUUAAGAACAGUAGAUGAUGCUCACGAAGCCUCUGAAUCCCGCGUGCUUCCCAUGAGAAGGGCGCUGUUCCAUAGUGACAACAGUGGAUAUCAGCGCCAUGAAGGGUCCUUCCCGAGAGACUCCUGAAACACUCAUUUCGCAGCGAAGAUGCCUGCCAGCAAGACCGACUGGAAAAAGAAUUUUCUCUCCCAUUGACUUGGAUCAUAAAAUCAGAGGAGAGGGCUUCACACGAUUACGGAGUGUGGGACAGAAUUGGGUUUGAGUUCUGGCUCUGGGGGUGGCGGUGUGGUCUUGGGGACGGUGCCCUCUCGUAGCCUCGGAUUCCUCAACUGCAAUGACAAAGACAAUGACAAUAUGGUGUUGUGAGGGCGAGGUGAGCCGAUAUGUGAAAACACAAAGCCGACUGUCAUUAAACGAGCUAUGAUCCUUUCACUCGAUCAAAGCAUUUUUAGAGCUAAGAUCGUUUGAAAACUACCAAGUAUUCCAAGCUUUUGUUCCAAAAGUUGUGGGAACUGUCACUGAAGAGGUCAAGUGACGUCUCAACCGCUUGACUUCUCUGAUUUUCCCCAUUUCAUAACAACGCAAUUAUUUAUGUGAAACAAGACACAUCAUCUUCUGCUAAUCUUCUCCAGGUGUGUCCCUCCCCACUUGGGGAAACUUGACGUGUCACCGUUUGAAUCCGCAACAUGGAUGAAACAACAAAACAGUCCUCCACCCGAUGAUUUAACAGGCCACACCGUUCAGUUUCUUUUUAAAUUUCAAUUUUGCCUUUAUCCGUUCUGCUUUCAAAAGUGAUCCAGAACAAGUGUGUGAGAUUUUAGGAAACUGAAUAUGAGUGACCAUUCCGUUGAGGAAAACAUCUCCCCCAGCCUCCCUCCACACUCCACCUAGUGAAAGUGACCCAGGAGAGGACCGUGGCUAAGAGCGGCCUCCUGCCCUCGGGGCGCCAGGCUCCCCAGCAGUCAGCUAACCGGGACUGUCACCU
rnacentral:lncRNA from 1 species